GGGAAGAUGGCCGAGCGGUUAUGGCGCUGCGUUCAGGAGAAUCGACUAUUCUUAGCCGAGUCAAAAACCUGUUCAAUAAUUCGCAGUAGGGCAACCUGCGUGGGUUCGAAUCCCACUCUUCUCA